AGAUGUUUUGAAGUUGAAGUGAAAUGUGCGAUGUUGCCCCUAUCUAUUAAUUAAGAAGAGAAGCCUCCCCAGAAAGUGUGGCUUUGGGGGGCAGUUUCAUGAUAUUAAGAAUGGGCAUAUACCCAUUCCUAUGUUUUCAGGGUUACAACAUGCUAAGUUCUUAUUGAGCCUCACCUUUCAGAAAAUGACUAUCAGCAAACAAUGUACUAGUAAUUAUCACAGUUACAAACAAUUCAUGCCAGAACAAUAAGACAUUCAGUGCAUGAUGUCUCUCUUACAGCUCCUCACUUCUUUGACAGCUUCUCCUUCAUCCUCUGCACUGCACUUUUAAGAGUAUCAUCAUCUUUGCAGAAGGUAAACCUGACAAGAUUCUUUCCUUCUUCUGGAUUUAGAUAGAAUACGCUAGUUGGAAUGGCUACAACACCAACUUCCUUGAUCAGGUAUUCGCAGAAGGCAAUGUCAUUUUCUAGCCCAAAAGGAGUGUGAUCAACAACUACAAAAUACGUUCCGCUCGAGGGGUAUACUGUGAAACCAGCUGCCUUUAACCCCUCCA
rnacentral:lncRNA from 1 species